AUGGACCAGAUCAUGAACAAGAUGGGCUCCUACUGGCUGGGGCAGAGGGCCAACAAAGAGAUGUCGUCGGCCGGUGACGAUAUCGAGUCGCUCUCGACCAGCGUCGGGGACGGAGCAAAAUGGCUGGUGAACAAGCUCAAGGGUAAGAUGCAGAAGCCGCUGGCGGAGCUGCUCCAGGAGCACGACCUGCCGGUGGGGCUGUUCCCGCGGGAGGCCACCAACUACGAGUUCGAGCCGGAGACGCGGCGGCUGACGGUGCACAUCCCGGCAGUCUGCGAGGUCGGCUACAGGGACGGCUCCGAGCUGCGCUUCGACACCACGGUGGCCGGCACGCUGGACAAGGGCAGCCUGACGGGGGUGGAGGGCCUCAAAGCCAAGGUGCUCGUCUGGGCCAGGGUCACCGCCGUCAAGGCCGACGCCGCAAAGGUCUACUUCGCCGUAGGCAUCAAGAAGUCGCGCAGCCGCGAGGCAUACGAGAUCAUCAGAGGCGCCAUCACCGUCGACGAGUUCUAG
rnacentral:rRNA from 1 species